CUGAACCCUAGAGCAGAAAAGAAGAAAAAAACUCUCUGAAAUCACCAUGGAAGUCCACAGAGAUGUCAUCCAGUGUACAUAAUGUUGUCUAGAAACAGCAAAAUUUUCUGAGAAUUGAUAUCAAGACAAUAUUCAUGUAAUUGUGGGACAAUUAUACAGCAUAUCAAAGGAAAUACUGUUUAUUAAGGCGAGAGCUACAAAGCUGUAAGAAGCUCAUGAGAGGAGAAAUGGACAGGAAGAAACAGGAUCAGCAGGUUGCUGACGUGAAAAUUACAGGGAGGUUCGAUCUUUCAGGUGAGGAGCAGCAGCAAUAGGAGGCUAUAACCUUAAAACUCUUAUCUGGGAAUUUCUACAGGAAUGACGUAUUUAUUGUGGCAGAAGUGGGUGGGUCAGUGGUGGUAAUCAGAACCCCACUGCGCACAGGCAGCAUACAUGGGAGUGCUUUAGGGAGAAGCAAUGACCUUCUCGGUCACUGGCUUUCGACUAAAGUAGAACAGAUGGGGGAAUGAAGUAACCAACCUUUGACAUAAAAGGACGCUGUAAACUAGGGGCGGUAGCAAAGAACUAUAGCAAAAGCCACUAGAAAGAAGCAACCAGCUGUUUUCCUCAUAUAUUUCCGGAACCCGACCUGC